AAAUAUCAACAUAUUUUUUCAUCUUGAUUUUCUGCUAUUUCAGGUUCUUUUCAAUUGAUGCAUGGGGAUGGAGAAAAAAAGGCCUCUCCCAAGCUAUGGUGUCCCGCCUUGUGAAGUCCAUCUCAAUAGCCAUUGCCAGGAGAUGGGAGCAAUACAUCACAAUUCCUUCAGCAAGAGAGGCAGUCCUGCAGAGUGCAGACCCAACAUGAAUUGUAUAAUUACUGCCAUUUCCCUGGCGUUAGUAUGGUCGGUGCUAUUGAUUGCACCCACAUAGGCAUCUCCAAGCCAGUUGGCCCAACACCAGUUAUUUCCUGAACAGGAAAAAAUAGAUACUCCAUUUUUCUUGGAAAGUCUGCUGGAUGAUGUUUUUCUUCAGUAAAAUAAAUGAAGGCAAAUUCCCUGAUAACUGAGACAAAUUCAGAGAGAGGAAGGAGAACUACUGAGCUGCUGAAUUUCUGACAGACAUACUUGCAAGGACUAUGAAGUUCUACUUAGCCUCUUCAAUGAACCAGACUCCAUCUGCUGUAACUGUGACUGCAUGGGGAUCAAAACCUGUGUAUUAUAAUCCUCAUAACAUGAAGCUAUGGUAACAAACAAGCAACCAUUGAUAAAAAGCCUG
rnacentral:lncRNA from 1 species